rnacentral:rRNA from 1 species
GAUGAACGCUGGCGGCGUGCCUAAUACAUGCAAGUCGAGCGAACAGACGAGGAGCUAGCUCCUCUGACGUUAGCGGCGGACGGGUGAGUAACACGUGGAUAACCUACCUAUAAGACUGGGAUAACUUCGGGAAACCGGAGCUAAUACCGGAUAAUAUAUUGAACCGCAUGGUUCAAUAGUGAAAGACGGUUUUGCUGUCACUUAUAGAUGGAUCCGCGCCGCAUUAGCUAGUUGGUAAGGUAACGGCUUACCAAGGCAACGAUGCGUAGCCGACCUGAGAGGGUGAUCGGCCACACUGGAACUGAGACACGGUCCAGACUCCUACGGGAGGCAGCAGUAGGGAAUCUUCCGCAAAGGGCGAAAGCUUGACGGAGCAACGCCGCGUGAGUGAUGAAGGUCUUCGGAUCGUAAAACUCUGUUAUUAGGGAAGAACAAAUGUGUAAGUAACUAUGCACGUCUUGACGGUACCUAAUCAGAAAGCCACGGCUAACUACGUG